CCUUCUCCUCCACAAACACAUUACUACUCAUUUAUUACACAUCAAGUUUAUAUCUACCUGGAAAGCACCAGUUAGAAGCAAGGCAAUCUCCCAGGCUGUGACAAAGCAAGCUUUCCAUUAAUAAUUUGUAAUGCCACGAAGAAAAACAGGAGCACAGCAUUUUCAGAACUACUCAAGAUUCUCACCUGCCCAUGAAACCCAGUUUUGUAAACACAAGGACUGAUCCUAUGGGGAUACCAAAAAAAAAACUUCCUCCAGGAAAAAAUUAAGAAGCCACUAACCACAGGCUAUAUAAGUGCCAACUGCUGCAGCUGUACAACGAGACCUAUCACAGUCUGAAGCACUGUUUUUGCCUUUUUUUUUUUUUUUUAAUAAGCAAACACCUGAUAUAGAAGCUUC